rnacentral:rRNA from 1 species
GGGAAGAGCCCAAACCAACAAGCUUGCUUGUUGGGGUUGUAGGACUCCAAUAUGGUAGUCUGUUAGUAUAGUUGAAGGAUUUGGAAAAUUCCGCUAAAGAGGGUGAAAGCCCCGUAGACGAAAUGCUAACAACACCUAGGAGGAUCCUGAGUACGGCGGAACACGAGAAAUUCCGUCGGAAUCCGCGGGGACCAUCCCGCAAGGCUAAAUACUCCCUAGUGACCGAUAGUGAACCAGUACCGUGAGGGAAAGGUG